UUUAAAAAUGAAUGCUUUGUUUAACAUUUAGAUUGAAUGUUUAUGAUAUCAGAUUUUGUUUUAGAUUAGAGCUUGCUUAUUUGGAAGCCAAUGGGAAUGCAGUAGUUUGAAAUCUGGGACAGAAGCUCUAAGAUGAUUAAAGAUCCCUCUACCCAACUGUUUGUAUUCAGCUGCAGAUUCUAUUCAUCCAUGUGUUUAACUUCACUUAUCAUGCAGGAUUUUGCCUAUCUUUGCUGCUAAGGUGAAGGUGCAGCAAGAACAACCACUGUGCGUAGUGUCAUGCGUUUGAUGAAGGAUCACCAGCCUAAGAUGAUAGCCUUACUUCACAAGUUUGCCAUCUAACCGUUGAACAUUUGUGGCAUUUCGCAGCAUUAUAAAAUAAUGCAGAAAAUUACAUUUUACAGAUUUCUAGUGACUGCACCAUUUUGCUUCAAGUAUUUAAUUCUGAGUUGCAGGUUACAGGGAAGUUUUGGAGAAUUGAAAGAAGUCAAGACAGGAAAGGGCUUGCAUGAACGACAGUAGUGAAAAACGAGAGGAAGCUACUGACAUGAUGAAGGAACAUCCAGAGAUGGAGGACCUUCAUUGCUCCAUUCACGUCAGUGGCAUUGUGGGCAGUAAGAACAUGUCACUCCUGAAUUCUGACCAGCUAACCUUUAAGCAAUUCCCACCUAGCAGAUGUGGGCUUUCCAAAAAACUCCCACUUGCAACCUCCUCUUCCCAGGUCAUGCUUGCUCUUAUAAUUGGCCUUAACCCAAUUGACCCACAGAGGAAAUCUGACAACUUCCAUCUGAAAACCUGAUCACUCUUCCCAAAGUGCUCUCCCACUGAAACACUGAUCAUCUGGCCAGACUAAUUUUCCAUUAUUAGUCCUAGAAUGACCCUUCCUUAAUUAGACUAUGCCAGGAAACCGUUCUGGAUGUACCUAAUAAAUUCUGCCCCUUCGAAGUCUCUGGUACUAAGUGAGUCCUAGUCAGAAUUAGGGGACAUGAAUCACAACUGCAACAGCUCUGUUGAUUUUACGUAGCUGUAUUGGAGUGGCACAAUGGUAUAAUGGUUAACACAAUGCUUUACAGUGACCUGGGAUCAAUUCCUGCCUGCUGCUAGAGAGGAGUUUGUAUGUUCUCCCUGUGACUGUGUGGGUUUCCACUGAGUGCUUUGGUUUCCUCUCACCAGCCUACCAGCUGGUAGGUUAGUAGGUCAUUGCAAAUUGUCUUGCGAUUAGGCUCAGACUAAAUUAGAGGACUGCUGUGUGGUAUGGCUUGAAGGGCCAGGAGGGCCUAUUCCAUGCAUGUCAAUAAAUAAAUAAUCUCCCUGUUCCAGUUUCACACUAUUGGAAAGCUUUUAGUAUAAAAUCACAGUGAUUUCAGGAGUCCUCCAGGAUGUCCCCUCUAAAUGCAAUAUAACAUUCUUCCUGAUCGGUAAAGCAACUCUCCCACUCACUUUACAUCUCUCAAUCACGGCUGAAAAUACUAAUCCUAGAGUGUUGAGCUGACAGUCCUGCUCUCCUCUCAACCAAUUUUCAGUGGUGUCUACAACAACUCAGAUGUAUGUAUUAAUCCAGGCUCUUAAGUUCUUCUGCUUUAACUAUUAUAUUCCUCACACUGAAAUAAAUACAUUUCUGGCCAUCAGCUCCUUUGUGUUCAUUCAUCUGACUUGGUCUAAGUUACUUGACCUAGCGUCUUCCUUAGUGUGGGUAAGAGCCAGCAGAAUCCAAGUGGAGUUGAUGGGCAUGCAUGUUAAGAAAGUAAGUUGCAAGAAGGAAAUCAGGAAAGGAGGUAUGAAACUGCAGGGAAUUCCAUAAACUUGAAGUCCUUAGAU